rnacentral:lncRNA from 1 species
AUUCUACGGCCUGGCUUCGCAGGCACCCGCGUCCCGUGCGGCCCGGUGCGAGUUGGGUUCGCUGCCUUCCGUGUGUCGGCACCUCUGCCAAGGCGGACCGGACGGCAAAGGCCGAAAGCCAUCAUGACGUCGAGGCACAAGCUCCACUGUCCUAACGGUAGAGGUCGCAUGGAGUUCGUGAGACCGGCAUUAGCCGCCGCUGGAGUUGUACGCAGUCCACCGUAUUUUCACAGAUUUGCCUUCUAUUCACAUCACAGCUACUUCCUGUCGGGAUUUUCAGAUUCAAGCCAACAAAACAUUGCAUAACUGUGUGCAGCCCUUACCCGGCCGGAUGUGUGCAGCUUUAUGGUGGUCCUGCUCGAGGAGGAACGGGACAUCCAAAUGUCCUCCUUGGAAAACAGUGGUUAAGGAGCACUGGAACUCGGACAGGACAUGGGUUCUCUCCCACCCCCUUUAUCCCCCAUGCCUGCUGCCCCACAUGUGUGUACACGUGUGCUUCUGCUUGUGAGCACACGGGAGUUCAUUGUAGAGGGCGUCUCCCUUACCUGUUGUCUCUCUUUGAUUAAAAACAAAAUCUAUUCUUACAACUACACGUACAUGUUGCUAGACUUACAGUCAGGUCUGGGUUACUGCCAUCAGUCCCAAUGUUCACAGAACUGGGAAGCAAGAAGGGUAGACCAGUGGGGACAACCUGUAACUUGGACUUCUUACAUCACUCCUGUCCCUCCCAUCUGGGACUCAUCGGGUCUAAUUCAGUCUAGGAGGUAUGUUUCUAGAUGUAUCCUUGGAGUACAGUGAAUACAAGCCAAGAAAUGAUUUUUUUCUUCCCAACUUCAUAGUCUCAUCCUGACCUACAGCAGAUAAGUAAGGACGGCUCCAUUUCUGUAUUCUCUCCUGCUGAUCCCCCGUCUCCCUGCUGUAGAGUUGGGAGUACCCUCUUAAUUAAUGAUGCUCAUAAAGGAAUGAAAGAACAAGGCCAGAGUAUCAGCUACCUCGGAUUCUGCACAGACUCAGGAUCACAGUCAGUUUGUGGUCACCAGUUUAUACCAAACAGGUUUUAAGGGACCACGGCAGAACUGUCUUGGUCCUAAUCAGCUGUGUCUCGCAGACAUGAUUCUACUCCAGACCAUGUUGUCUCUAGAAGAGAAACUUGCAAACACUCUGCCUUCCUUUCCUUUCCUUUCCUUCAGGUAAGUAAAUGCUGUGUUAGACCAGAUUGGACCAGAAUUCUCAAACUUCACCAUCUAUGGAUGUUUCACUUUUGAUGUGUUUGUCUGUUUAUAGUCUAUUUUAUUGAAAGAUUCUCAUUAAUAAGAAGAAAUGAAGAC